AUCCAAUUCAACUCAGUACAUAACAUGGUCAAAGCACGAGACUCUUAAUCUCAGGGUCAUGGCUUUGAGCCCUAUAUUGGGCA